UACAGCCAUAUCACGUUGAAACACCCGUUCUUGUCCGAUCACAGAAGAUAAGCAAUGCUGACCCUUGUCAGUUCUACGAUGGGUAACUUCUUGGGAAUACCAAAUGC